CUGCUGAGGAGUCCCACAAUAGGACGAAACGGCCUUCUAG
rnacentral:hammerhead_ribozyme from 1 species